rnacentral:rRNA from 1 species
AAAAACAUCGCCUUCGGAUUAUGAUCGAAAGGUCCGGCCUGCCCGGUGGCUUGAAGAGCUAAACGGCUGCAGUACUCUGACUGUGCAAAGGUAGCAUAAUCAAUUGCCUAUUAAUUGUAGGCUGGCAUCAACGGUUAGACGACAAAGGUUCUGUCUCUCUCUAUUUGUUCUGAAUUUAGUUUGUAGGUGAAGAAACCUUCAUGUUGGAGUAGGACGAGAAGACCCUAUUGAGCUUUAGGUUGAAGGUUUAGGUUUUGAAACCUGUGACUUUGGGUUGGGGCAACUGUUUACUUAAUUAGACGUAGAUUAACUUUCUGUGAUUUGAGUCUUUCUUUGACCCAGAAGUUUCUGAUAAUUAGAAAAAGUUACCUUAGGGAUAACAGCGUAAUUUCCCUCGAUAGUUCUUAUUGACGGGGAAGUUUGCGACCUCGAUGUUGGAUCAAGAUAACCUGAAGGUGCAGCAGCUUUCAAGGGUUGGUUUGUUCAACCAUGAAAAUCUUACGUGAUCUG